rnacentral:rRNA from 1 species
UACGGAGGGAGCUAGCGUUGUUCGGAAUUACUGGGCGUAAAGCGUGCGUAGGUGGUGAGUUAAGUCUGUCGUGAAAGCCCCGGGCUCAACCUGGGAAUGGCGAUGGAUACUGGCUCGCUAGAGUGCGGUAGAGGAGAGUGGAAUUCCCGGUGUAGCAGUGAAAUGCGUAGAGAUCGGGAGGAACAUCAGUUGCGAAGGCGGCUCUCUGGACCAGCACUGACACUGAGGCACGAAAGCGUGGGGAGCAAACAGG